rnacentral:misc_RNA from 1 species
CUGAGUGCAAACUCUCCAACCAUUGUUUAUCUAUUUAUUUAGAACUUCUCCGGCAGGCGGUCCCAGGGCGGGAUCGAGCCUAAGCAUCUGUGCUAAGCACCUGCCGAGAAGACCUAUUGCUCUAUAUUAUACUGUCUGAGGAACUAAAAAAAUAUCA